rnacentral:lncRNA from 1 species
CUUUGUGGGUUUAGACUUAUCAGACUUUCCCAGGAGAGCCCAGCCAAAUGCAGCUGGUAACCUGAUGAGUUUGGAAUUGCUCUUGGCCUCCAUCUCCUUGUAUAUGCUUCCUUCUGGGACUACUGUGGUUUUUCAGCUUAUCAGUGGUCGAGUUGGCUUCCUUCUGGAUUCUCUCUUCAGCUUAGACACACCAAGGAUCAUCACAGACUCAGUUUCCCACAAAACCAGAACCAUGGGGCCAGCGGAAAAGUUUUCUUCCAACUUGCAACAAGGUAAUAGAGGCUGAUUUCAGUAAAUUCUGUAAUAACACUGUACCUGCAGCAUUGAUGCUGAAAAAAUGCACUCAUUGACUUCCUAUUUUUCAAAAGCAUCAUUGCCUGGGGGAAUCACACAGGACCCCACACUGCCACACUGAUUUUGGACUUGUAGCUCAUAGUGGAGCUGAAAGAGCAAGCACCAUGGUGCCAGCUAAGGAGACUGUCACAGUACAGGAUGACAGCACUGAUCUAAGAGCACA